UUAAGUUCAGCGGGUAUCCCUACCUGAUCCGAGAUCAAAGUUUUGUAUUGGUUUUACGGAGAGAGUGCAACUGACCCACUGGGCGAAACAUUGUUAUCACGCUGAGGUAUUCAGUGCCCUCCACCAUUCACUUUCAGAGGUGAGACUGUGCUGGAUGGCACACCACUCAUCCCCCACAACCAAGCCAGUUCCAUCACUGG
rnacentral:misc_RNA from 1 species